UACGUAGGUGGCAAGCGUUGUCCGGAUUUACUGGGAGUAAAGAGCGCGCAGGCGGUCGUUCAAGUCGCGUGUGAAAGCCCCCGGCUCAACUGGGGAGGGUCACGCGAUACUGAUCGACUGGAAGGCAGGAGAGGGUAGUGGAAUUCCCGGUGUAGUGGUGAAAUGCGUAGAUAUCGGGAGGAACACCAGUGGCGAAGGCGACUACCUGGCCUGUUCUUGACGCUGAGGAGCGAAAGCAUGGGGAGCGAACAGG
rnacentral:rRNA from 1 species